AAACCGAUAUCACCUCAUCCCUUAUAUGAUAACCUAUAUAUAUAUAUAUAUAUCAUAUAAGGGAUGAGGUGAUAUCAGUUU